GGAGUGACGUCACUUUCCUAAACCGGGCAGCGGCCGUUGAGCUGAGUCCCAAACCAGAGACGAGCAGGAGUCGACCAACAGCUCAACUUUUAAUGAAUGCGGGCCGAGGAGAGCCGCCGUGAAGGGUCGCGCCGGUUUCUCCUUCCGUAUGCUCCCUCCUGGUCGACAUAGCUCCACAAAGAUUCGCUGUGUUCACACUUGUUCAGCGGCUAAUCUGGUUUUAGCUAUUUUUAAAAAGCGCUUGUCUCUUCUUUUAUGUGUCUCGCGCUCCCCGCGACUCUCGGCACAAGGACUGGGUCUCGACUGAGCGAUUGAGUGAGCGACUGCAUGGGUCGGACUGAACAUGAAGAGCCUCAAAGCCAAGUUUAGAAAAACUGAUACAAAUGAGUGGAACAAAAAUGAUGAACGCUUGCUUGCUGCAGUGGAGCAUGGCGAGGUUGAGAAAGUCUCAUCCCUUCUUGCCAAGAAAGGUGCCAAUCCUGUAAAGCUGGACAGUGAAGGCAA